ensembl:lncRNA novel transcript, sense intronic to HTR1F
UUUUUUUUUUUUUUUGAGAAUUAUGUGUUUUACAGAUUAAAUAAGCAUGAAUCAGUAACUUAACUAGUGAAGUAAGCACAUAUUUAAACAGGUUCUCCAAAUGAAUACAAAUGUCAUUUAUAUAGAAAAAGAUAUCAAACUUUAAAUUGUUUAUUUUCCAUCUGAAAAAAUCCUUAAAUUCAGCAGCUAUUCAAAAAGUUGGGCUUGUUGAAUAAAUAGUAACAUUAUUUCUUUUACUUCUUUAUGGAAAUACUUAUAUUCUCAUCUUGAUCCUUAAAAAACAAUAAUUCUCAGCCUAGCUACACAUUAAAAUCACCUAGGUAGUGUUUUAAAAUCCCAACGCCUCUGCCAUACCCCAAUCAAUUAAAUUGGAAUUUGUGGGGCUGAAAAGCAGGCAUCAACAUUUUUAAAGGUCAGUAGAUGAUUCCAGUGGCAGCCAGCAAAUUGAGAACAGCUGCCUUUUCACUACUUGAUGAGCCUUCAUUUACCCCUGUGAGUGGCUACUAAUAUGCAAUUUGGAAAACAUCCUAAAUAAAUCACAAAAAGAAGUGGUCAUUGUAAGUAUCAGAAAAUAGUAGCUGCCCAGAUGGUUUAUAAAGGGAAGAAUCAUUGCUUCCUUAGACAGUAAUUCUCAAAACUGAAGGAGUAGUCUGGGUCCUUCUAGGAAUAGCAAAAGCCAAAGGAAAUUGACUUUAAGUGGAUUUUUGUGAGUAGGGAAAGAAUAUGGGUUUGAAGCCAACAGAACCUGUAUUGAAUUUCAGUUGUGCUAUUUUAACUGAUUAUGUGACAAUAAACAAAUAACUAGACCAUUCUGAGUUCCCUCAUCUACAUAAGGCUAUAUUUUUGUUGUGAGGGUAUUAUGAAGUCAUAAUUUAUAUAAAUUAUAUAGAAGCAUCUUGCAUGGAUUCAAGUACCAUGGUAAGUGCACAACAAAGAUUAGUUCCAAAUUUCUCCUACCUCUAUGCCUUUCCUAUUCUCUGUUACUUGGACUUGGGUUUAUUAAACUUAAAUUAACUCAUCUGUAAUCAGAGUGAGUCGUUUGAAAUCUGUCAUGUUUGAUGCAGCCUGACUUAUAUGGUGGUAGACUGCUUACUAAUGACUAUCAUGCUACUUUACUCUUUAAGCCACCUGUGACCUGGAAAUCAGAUGAAAAGUAGCUGGAACUCUCUUUAGAAUUUCCUAACUGUGUUUUCUAAAACUCUGAAUGUCGCAAAAAGUGUACUUGGUAUGGUGCACACACACACACACACACACAUACACACAAACUUUCUGAUGUCAAAUAAAGUAGGGAAAAGCAGUAUACUGGGGUUCCCCUAUGAGAGAUGUCCAGUGGAAAGUAAAAUACUGAAGUUUCAGGGAAGUUCUUCAGUUGAGAUGCCUUUUUACCCAGGAUUUCCCAAUUUUAUUUGACCACCCUUCCCCACUACAAGCACCAAUCAACAAUUAUAGUAGUCCAAGUCCAAAGAGCAUAGAUUGAGAAUACUAACGAAUGAUAUUAUUGAUGACUAGUCAAAAGCAAGAAAAUUAAUUUGAUAUGCUCCUCCUUGUCAUUGGAAGAGACCCCAUUCCGAGCCAACUCUAAUCAAAGGAGGAAGCCAAAAAGUGUGGGAGAGGUUUUAAAUUUUGAGAUGAAAAUGUUAAAUUAGAGAUUUAAAGUAGAAAGUUUCAUCAGUAUCCUGGCUACUUGUGCUGUUAAAUUUUUUUAUAACUUCAGCUGGGCUUCGUGGCUCACAUUUAUAAUCCCAGCAUGUUGGGAGGCCUAGAUGGGAGGAUCACUUGAAGGCUGGAGCUUGAGACCAGCCUGGGCAACAUAGUGAGACCCAUCUCUAUUCUAAAUGAAUGAAUGAAUGAAACAUAACUUUAAAAUUUUUUUGAACUUUAAUGUAUUACAUGUGAACACAGUAUCUAAUAUCUCACCCAGCGAGACAACUUCACUGUGUGACAAAAAAUUAUACUCAAAUCCAUUGUUUUCUUAUUUUGUAACCUGAAAAAUGGAAAGUAAUGGAGGUAGUAUAAAAGAGAGGUAAUAAGAUCUAAAAAAAAAAAAA